rnacentral:rRNA from 1 species
CCUUGUACACACCGCCCGUCACGCCAUGGAAGUUGGUUCUACCUGAAGACAGUCCACCAACCGCAAGGGGGUAGCUGGCCACGGUAGGGUCAAUGACUGGGGCG